rnacentral:tRNA from 1 species
GUGGGUAUAGCUCAGUGGUAGACUGCAUGCUUAGCAUGCAUGAGGUCCUGGGUUCAAUCCCCAGUACCUCUG